AUUGAACGCUGGCGGCAGGCCUAACACAUGCAAGUCGAACGAGUGGCGGACGGGUGAGAAAUGUCUGGGAAACUGCUUGAUGGAGGGGGAUAACUACUGGAAACGGUAGCUAAUACCGCAUACCAUCGGAUGAGACCAGUUGGGAUUAGCUAGUAGGUGGGGUAACGGCUCACCUAGGCGACGAUCCCUAGCUGGUCUGAGAGGAUGACCGGCCACCCUGGAACUGAGCCACGGUCCAGACUCCGACGGGAGGCAGCAGUGGGGAAUAUUCCACAAUGGGCGAAAGCCUGAUGCAGCCAUGCCGCGUGUAUGAAGAAGGCCUUCGGGUUGUAAAGUUCUUUCAGCGGGGAGGCGGUACCCGAUCAUGAAGCCCCGGCUAACUCCGUGCCAGCAGCCGCGGUAAUAC
rnacentral:rRNA from 1 species